rnacentral:rRNA from 1 species
GCAAGUCGAGCGAACGGACGAGAAGCUUGCUUCUCUGAAUGUUAGCGGCGGACGGGUGAGUAACACGUGGAUAACCUACCUAUAAGACUGGGAUAACUUCGGGAAACCGGAGCUAAUACCGGAUAAUAUUUUGAACCGCAUGGUUCAAAAGUGAAAGACGGUCUUGCUGUCACUUAUAGAUGGAUCCGCGCUGCAUUAGCUAGUUGGUAAGGUAACGGCUUACCAAGGCAACGAUGCAUAGCCGACCUGAGAGGGUGAUCGGCCACACUGGAACUGAGACACGGUCCAGACUCCUACGGGAGGCAGCAGUAGGGAAUCUUCCGCAAUGGGCGAAAGCCUGACGGAGCAACGCCGCGUGAGUGAUGAAGGUCUUCGGAUCGUAAAACUCUGUUAUUAGGGAAGAACAUAUGUGUAAGUAACUGUGCACAUCUUGACGGUACCUAAUCAGAAAGCCACGGCUAACUACGUGCCAGCAGCCGCGGUAAUACGUAGGUGGCAAGCGUUAUCCGGAAUUAUUGGGCGUAAAGCGCGCGUAGGCGGUUUUUUAAGUCUGAUGUGAAAGCCCACGGCUCAACCGUGGAGGGUCAUUGGAAACUGGAAAACUUGAGUGCAGAAGAGGAAAGUGGAAUUCCAUGUGUAGCGGUGAAAUGCGCAGAGAUAUGGAGGAACACCAGUGGCGAAGGCGACUUUCUGGUCUGUAACUGACGCUGAUGUGCGAAA